rnacentral:rRNA from 1 species
UACGGAGGGUGCAAGCAUUAAUCGGAUUUAUUGGGCGUAAAGGGGGCGUAGGCGGGAAAGAAAGUCAGAUGUGAAAUUCCGGGGCUCAACUUCGGAGCUGCAUUUGAAACUUCUUUUCUAGAGGGUAGGCGGAGAAAACAGAACUCCACAAGUAGCGGUGAAAUGCGUAGAUAUGUGGAAGAAUACCGGUGGCGAAGGCGGUUUUCUAGCUUAUUCCUGACGCAAAGGCCCGAAAGCUAGGGGAG